rnacentral:rRNA from 1 species
UUACCAGAUCUUGACAUCCAAUUGACCAUCUUUUAUCGAGAUUUUGCCUUCGGUACAAUUGAGACAGGUGGUGCAUGGUUGUCGUCAGCUCGUGUCGUGAGAUGUUGGGUUAAGUCCCGCAACGAGCGCAACCCUUGUGUUUAGUUGCAAACAGGUCAAGCUGUGCACUCUAGACAGACUGCCGUGGACAACACGGAGGAAGGUGGGGGAUGACGUCAAAUCAUCAUGCCCCUUAUGAUCUGGGCUACACACGUGCUACAAUGGCCGGUACAACGGGCAGCGAAGGAGCGAUCCGGAGCGAAUCCUAAAAAGCCGGUCCCAGUUCGGAUUGCAGGCUGAAACUCGCCUACAUGAAGUUGGAGUUGCUAGUAAUCGCGAAUCAGAAUGUCGCGGUGAAUGCGUUCCCGGGUCUU